CAUCAGUAAAAACUUACCAUUCCUGAUGAACAUAUCUGAUACUUCCAGUACAUUUACUAAAUUCGUGUUAUUAUUUUAAAUUGCAUAAAAAUUUAUCAAUGAAUUCUUACCAUGGAUGGAAGAGAGGUGAAUCUGGUGCUCCCUCACACCGGCACACCCGGCAAAUUUCAUCAUCUGCGUUCAUUGUAUUGCAUUCAAGUCAAGUGGACAGUAAAUACGCUGAAGGAAUUCCUCAAGGCGACGACUAUUACCACUUUGCCUUUGAUUACUCUAAGGGCUUAUGUUUAGGUGUUGGCAACUAGUUGUCUUCUUGUAUGGCAAAACUCGUCCCAGCUUAACGAGAAGUAACGUUGAUACUUUUCAUGAAAUUUCAAGUAUGUUAGAAAAUGGUGAAAAUAACAUAACCAGGAGGUCUAACAAUGGAUGUUUUGAAAAAAACACUCCAAUUUGUUUUAUUAUUUAGAAAACACGGAAAACUAGCUUAUAUAGAACUCAACGCCACAUUAUCAAAUAUAGCUUUACAAUACAUUCAA